rnacentral:lncRNA from 1 species
CACUAUCUCAAAGGUAGCUUUUUUAAAACAAUGUUUGUUCUUGUAUGAUUUUAUUCAAGCGAUACAUAGAGAUAUAACUCAAGUUAUGCUUAACUACAAUCAAUAAUUGCCCGCCAUUGGGUCAUGUCGUGUUCAAGCGGGUUACAUUCUUCCCUUCGCUGUGCAUUUCAUCUGAUGGUGAUAACUGCAACAAUACUAUGGUUUGCUAUGCCAUUCAUUCCAUUGAACCCAGAUUACCCACCCCAAAGCUGAAAAACCAGUUUGUAGCUUGAUUGGAGAAUAUGAUUCUCAUGUGUAUUGCUGCCUUGUUAUGUAGGGAUAUGGAAUGCCCUCAGGAUGGUACUAUCUCAUAAGCCUCUGAAAUAUAUUAAUUACAAAAAAAAAAAGAAAACGCCAUUUCUGAACUCAAAUUUCAGCAGGAAGGAAUAAUGAACUAAAAUUUCGAUAGGAAUUUUUAUGGUUUUAUCCAAAAAACUAAAUUUCCAAAGCAAAGUUAGGAUUUUUUUGGUGAUUUACAGUCUAUAAAUCGAAGAAAUUGUUUGUUACUCACCGAUUUCGGUGCCCUAAUCCUGAGUCAUCUUGGGUUGGGUUUUUCUCAGCAUGCUGCCUCCUUGAGAUGCCAGCAGCCACAACAAGCUCACUAGAGCGAAUGAGGAGGGAGAGGGACUGAAAUUUAGAGAGAGGACACAAACAUUUGUAGUCGCCUGGAGAAACGAUGGCGAGCGAGAGAGGGGGAGCUUCUCAGUGACGCUCUCAGGUUUGCAGAGCAUGCAAGAGGGGGUAUGGCUGAAAAUUUGUUUGGG